UGGCCAUCUUGGAGAGUAUUAGUUUGUUGGGCGGCCAUCUUUGAGAAUUUUAGUUUGUUGGGUGGCCAUCUUGGAGAGUCUUGUUUUGUUGGGCGGCCAUCUUGGAGAGCCUUAGUUUGUUGGGCGGCCAUCGUGGAAAGUCUUAGUUUGUUGAGCGGCCAUCUUGGAAAGUCUUAGUUUGUUGGGCGACCAUCGUGGAGAGUCUUCUUUUGUUGAGCGGCCAUCUUGGAAAGUCUUAGUUUGUUGGGCGGCCAUCGUGGAAAGUCUUAGUUGGUUGAGCGGCCAUCUUGGAGGCUGCAUGUUUGUUUUUCACAAGCCAAAUUAAAUUCUGAUUUGAAUCUGCGUUCAAAUUCCCAUCUCACAUUGUUUUUAAUAGCUAUCGGUUUAAAUGGAAUCUGUCUACAGUUCAAGCCUACUACCAAGCCGCUAACAUUUAUGUUUGGCCCCUUGCUACCGUACGACGAGCCGGCCAAUUCACUGAAGGGGAAAGGACGGCGGACGUGAAAGAUGCAUGUUUCAUUCUGUCGGAAAUGCGGCCGUAACGUCUCUCGCAGCAAGUCGCCCCGAAUGGAGGGCUGCUUUUUAUUGAAGGCUGACCUGCAAGCCCGUUUCAAAAGCCUGGAUGCCAGCUGAGGGCCUACUCACUCACUGGGAAAUGCAAACAGAGUUCCUAUGGCAACGGGGACAAGAGGCAAAAACUCCUAGUGAGAGGCCUGAGGGGUGCGGGGGUAAGAGGUUGUGGGGGAGUGUGUGGAAUAAGUGCGGCUGUGCGUUUACCCUGGCGCUGCCUCUCUUCACGAACACACUUUGUGCCCAGACCUCAAACCCAAAAAUCUGUUUGAAUUGCACAAAAAUGUUUAUUUUGAAAGCAGAGCUCGGCGUCACACGAGGCAUUACUGCAUACAUCACAUACUUUAA